rnacentral:ncRNA from 2 species
GAUUCGUGGCUUUUUGUUCCUUCAGUGUCGGCUCUUUCUAUCAUUGUGAAGCAAAAUUCACCAAGCUUAGGAUUGUUCACCCUUUCAAGGGAAUGUGAGCUGGGUUUAGACCGUCGUGAGACAGGUU